UACGUAGGGGGCAAGCGUUGUCCGGAUUUAUUGGGCGUAAAGCGCACGCAGGCGGUCUUUUAAGUUUUGAGUGACAGGUAAGGGCUUAACUCUUACAGGACGCAGAAAACUGGAAGACUUGAGGGCUUCAGAGGGACGUGGAAUUCCAGGUGGAGCGGUGAAAUGCGUAGAGAUCUGGAAGAACACCGAAGGCGAAGGCAGCGUCCUGGGAAGCAUCUGACGCUGAGGUGCGAAAGCCAGGGGAGCGAACGGG
rnacentral:rRNA from 1 species